ACGACCUUACUUGAACAGGAUCUGUUCUAUAGGAUCGUACCUCUGUAUCCUUUAUCACUAAGGAGACAGGAACCUAAGUCUGGUUGAGGAAUCAUGACCGUGUGAUCAUAGCGUGAGUAAUGGCUUGAUGAUCCUCGUGAUCAUCAUGGCUGUAGAGGAUCGUUCCCGAGUCAUGUUCUGGCUUGGGAUGGUCAUGCGGUUGUCUGACAGACU
rfam:Populus trichocarpa isolate Nisqually-1 chromosome 12, whole genome shotgun sequence.